AUGGCAUGUGUCGCUAGCAGCGUCAGCCCGGUGUGCGACAGUAAUAAUCAUCCGUGCAGAAACACCGUGAGCGAUACAACGUUGGCAACGUUGAUUAAACGAAGCUUCGAGGCAAAUCAUUUUGCAUCGAGUAGUUUUUGUAAU